rnacentral:sRNA from 1 species
UGUCCGUGACCCUGUCCCAGAUGGUCUGACAGGACUGGAGAACCAUGGACUCUUGUUCACCUGCCCAGUCUUUCUAUUGUGUUCUUGCCGUGGUUUGGAACUUGAACGGCUCCCAGAGCCCCACAGACUGAAGCUUGGUUACCAGGCUGUGUUGUGAUUGGGAGGUCAUGUGACGUUCAGGAGAGGAGUCGUCGAGUGUGGAGCAGUUUAGGUCAUCAGGGCAUGCCCUUGAAGAAGUCUUUGGAUCCUGGUCCCCUUCUCGGUUUUCUUUGCCUCCUGGUUUCCACAAGGGUUUGCUUUGGAUUAGAGACCUCACGGACGCCGUGCGUUUACCUUCGACGUUCUCUGUUUGACUGGACUCGCCUGCUGAGUAACGGAGGCUUGUAGACUCGCACCAGUGUCUGCAUCGGGGCAGCCAUAGAAACUUCACCAGGUGUGGCUAGUUUAUGGACAGGUGUGGACAGGUUUAUGAAGUAGUAGGGCUUGGAAGAAGACUUCAGAGUUUGAGAAGAUAUGUACCUUUCGAAGCUGACCACUUUCCAUGUCCUUGCUGAAGUGUGUGUGUGUGUGUGUGUACACAAAGACCAGAGAGAGGGUCACAUGUGCUGGAUCUGAAGUUGUAGGUGGUUGUGAUCCGCCAGAGUGGAAGUUGAGAAAUAAACCCAAGUCCUCUGCAGAGUACCAAGUGCUCUAACCAUUGAGAUCUACCUGCAACUCCCAAAAACAAAUUCUCAAAGAGGGCGUCUCACCCUCUGUGGAUUCUGGAAUUGCUAUGCGGGUGAUUUUGCUCCUUCGUGGAUGUCCUUCCCCAAGCUGGAGAGUGUGGAUCCACAUCCUUAUCAACGGAGACAAGACACCUUGUGAACAGGUUUUCCCAUUUCAGGACCCUGCACAUGCUAGAGAGUGGUCCACAGAGUCUGCUCCAGCAGAAGAGUCCUGAGUUGCCCAAGCUCUGGGUUUUCUGAUGAGGUGACUUGGAACGGGGUUGGAUGUGUGGUUUGGUCCCAGUAGACGGCAACAGCUGUAUUUGGCUCUGGCUUGAGAAUGAUGGGCACAGGAAAGUCCACGACCAAAGCAAUGACGCUGGCAGUACUAGCGGAAUGCAGAAGGGCAGAGUGGGGAAGGAUGCUAAGAUCCUACAAAUAAAGCUCUCCCAUUAAGGAACUGCCUCGAGUCCCUGGAUUCUCUUCUCCAUAUUCAGGCUGAAUCACUCUGUCUUCUUCCUAGGGUUUUUAGUAUACCUUCCAGGACUGUGUAUUACUUCACCUGCCAAGGCAAGCUCGGGCUUGGUAUCAGGAUUCCUGAAUGUUAACAAGCAGAUACGAGAUCUCAGGAAAAACACAGCAAUAAAAAAGCAUUUAUUAAGGCAACUAAA